rnacentral:rRNA from 1 species
UACGGAGGGGGCUAGCGUUGUUCGGAAUUAUUGGGCGUAAAGAGCUCGUAGGCGGUUUGUCGCGUCUGCUGUGAAAACCCGAGGCUCAACCUCGGGCCUGCAGUGGGUACGGGCAGACUAGAGUGCGGUAGGGGAGAUUGGAAUUCCUGGUGUAGCGGUGGAAUGCGCAGAUAUCAGGAGGAACACCGAUGGCGAAGGCAGAUCUCUGGGCCGUAACUGACGCUGAGGAGCGAAAGCAUGGGGAGCGAACAGG